rnacentral:piRNA from 1 species
UCCAUGAGGGGGCGAAUGAAU